ensembl:lncRNA VNN3P vanin 3, pseudogene
UUAAUGUAAAGUUUUUCCAGUGAAACAAAACGUAAGAAUCUGAGUUUGUUUUUCAAAGAUCACUAAAUUUUAGUUAUGAUUAUAUCACAUUUUCCAAAAUGUGUGGCAGUUUUUGCCCUCCUUGCUCUGAGUGUUGGUGCACUGGACACUUUUAUUGCUGCAGUAUAUGAGCAUGCGGUGAUAUUACCAAACAGAACAGAAACACCUGUUUCAAAAGAAGAAGCUUUGCUCCUGAUGAACAAGAACAUAGAUGUUUUGGAGAAAGCAGUUAAGCUGGCAGCGAAGCAGGGUGCACAUAUCAUUGUGACCCCAGAAGAUGGAAUCUAUGGUUGGAUCUUCACCAGGGAGAGCAUUUACCCCUAUCUAGAGGAUAUACCAGACCCUGGAGUGAACUGGAUUCCAUGUAGAGACCCCUGGAGAUUCGGCAACACACCAGUGCAACAAAGACUCAGCUGCCUGGCCAAGGACAACUCUAUCUAUGUCGUGGCUAAUAUUGGGGACAAGAAGCCAUGCAAUGCCAGUGACUCUCAGUGUCCCCCUGAUGGCCGUUACCAAUACAACACUGAUGUGGUGUUUGAUUCUCAGGGAAAACUGUUGGCACGCUACCAUAAGUACAAUCUUUUUGCACCUGAAAUUCAGUUUGAUUUCCCCAAGGAUUCAGAACUUGUGACUUUUGACACUCCCUUUGGGAAGUUUGGCAUUUUUACUUGCUUUGACAUUUUUUCUCAUGACCCAGCUGUGGUGGUGGUGGAUGAGUUUCAAUUGACAGCAUUCUCUACCCCACAGCAUGGUACAACACGCUGCCCCUCCUCUCGGCUGUUCCCUUCCAUUCAGCAUGGGCCAAGGCCAUGGGAGUCAAUCUACUUGCUGCAAAUACCCACAACACCAGCAUGCACAUGACAGGGAGUGGAAUCUACGCCCCAGAAGCAGUCAAGGUGUACCACUAUGACAUGGAAACAGAGAGUGGUCAGCUGUUGCUAUCAGAACUGAAGUCUCGGCCCCGCCGUGAGCCCACCUACCCUGCAGCUGUUGACUGGCAUGCGUAUGCCAGCAGUGUCAAGCCAUUUUCCUCUGAACAGUCAGAUUUUCUGGGGAUGAUUUAUUUUGAUGAGUUUACCUUCACCAAGCUUAAGAGAAAUACAGGAAAUUACACAGCUUGCCAGAAAGAUCUGUGUUGUCACUUAACUUACAAGAUGUCUGAGAAGCGAACAGACGAGAUCUAUGCCCUAGGUGCUUUUGAUGGACUGCACACAGUAGAAGGCCAAUAUUACUUACAGAUAUGUGCAUUACUGAAGUGUCAAACCACUGACCUGGAAACGUGUGGAGAACCUGUGGGGUCAGCUUUUACCAAGUUUGAAGACUUCUCCCUCAGUGGCACAUUUGGAACGCGUUAUGUUUUCCCACAGAUCAUUCUAAGUGGGAGUCAGCUUGCCCCUGAAAGACAUUAUGAGAUUUCAAGAGAUGGACGCUUGAGGAGCCGAAGUGGAGCCCCUUUGCCUGUCUUAGUUAUGGCCCUGUAUGGAAGAGUGUUUGAGAAGGACCCUCCACGCUUAGGGCAGGGAUCUGGGAAAUUCCAGUGAUCUCCUUUAGCAGAGCCCUUUUAGGAUUAGCCUGGCUAAGAAAGGAAGAAAAAAAAGAGAUCCGUUAGUGUCUGUUUAGAAAAGAUGUUAUAAACUUACAGAAACAAAUAUAAUAAACUGAAGCAGAUUUGAAAAGCAA